rfam:Ictidomys tridecemlineatus contig071172, whole genome shotgun sequence.
UAUAUGGCUCUUCUAAGAGCCAAUCCAUGUAACAGAAGGGCACAGU